UACGUAGGGUGCAAGCGUUGUCCGGAAUUAUUGGGCGUAAAGAGCGUGUAGGCGGCCCCAUUAGUCCGCUGUGAAAGUCCAGGGCUCAACCCUGGAAUGCCGGUGGAUACUGUGGGGCUAGAGUCCGGAAGGGGCGAAGUGGAAUUCCUGGUGUAGCGGUGAAAUGCGCAGAUAUCAGGAAGAACACCUAUGGCGAAGGCAGCUCUCUGGGACGGUACUGACGCUGAGACGCGAAAGCGUGGGGAGCGAACAGG
rnacentral:rRNA from 1 species